CACAUGCAAGUCGAGCGGAGACAGUGAGUAGCUUGCUAUGAGCUGUUUUAGCGGCGGACGGGUGAGUAACGCGUGAGCAACCUUUCCCAGACAGGGGAAUAACACACCGAAAGGUGUACUAAUACCGCAUAAGACCACGGAAUCACAUGGUUCUGAGGUAAAAGAUUUAUCGGUUUGGGGUGGGCUCGCGUCCGAUUAGGUAGUUGGUGAGGUAACGGCCCACCAAGCCGACGAUCGGUAGCCGACCUGAGAGGGUGAUCGGCCACAUUGGGACUGAGACACGGCCCAAACUCCUACGGGAGGCAGCAGUGGGGAAUAUUGGGCAAUGGAGGAAACUCUGACCCAGCAACGCCGCGUGGAGGAAGAAGGUUUUCGGAUCGUAAACUCCUGUCCUUGGAGACGAGUAGAAGACGGUAUCCAAGGAGGAAGCCCCGGCUAACUACGUGCCAGCAGCCGCGGUAAUACGUAGGGGGCAAGCGUUGUCCGGAAUAAUUGGGCGUAAAGGGCGCGUAGGCGGCUCGGUAAGUCUGGAGUGAAAGUCCUGCUUUUAAGGUGGGAAUUGCUUUGGAUACUGUCGGGCUUGAGUGCAGGAGAGGUUAGUGGAAUUCCCAGUGUAGCGGUGAAAUGCGUAGAGAUUGGGAGGAACACCAGUGGCGAAGGCGACUAACUGGACUGUAACUGACGCUGAGGCGCGAAAGUGUGGGGAGCAAACAGGAUUAGAUACCCUGGUAGUCCACACUGUAAACGAUGAAUGCUAGGUGUAGGGGGUAUCGACCCCUUCUGUGCCGCAGUCAACACAAUAAGCAUUCCGCCGGGGGAGUACGGCCGCAAGGUUGAAACUCAAAGGAAUUGACGG
rnacentral:rRNA from 1 species